rnacentral:rRNA from 1 species
CAUUCGAGUGGCGGACGGGUGAGUAACGCGUGGGUAACCUGCCUUACACAGGGGGAUAACACCUGGAAACAGGUGCUAAUACCGCAUAAGCGCACAGGGCCGCAUGGCCCGGUGUGAAAAACUCCGGUGGUGUAAGAUGGACCCGCGUCUGAUUAGCUUGUUGGCGGGGUAGGGGCCCACCAAGGCGACGAUCAGUAGCCGGCCUGAGAGGGUGGACCGGCCACAUUGGGACUGAGACACGGCCCAAACUCCUACGGAAGGCAGCAG